rnacentral:rRNA from 1 species
ACUCCUACGGGAGGCAGCAGUGGGGAAUUGUUCGCAAUGGGCGCAAGCCUGACGACGCAACGCCGCGUGGAGGAUGAAGACCUUCGGGUCGUAAACUCCUUUCGAUCGAGACGAAUGGCCUCCGGGUGAACAAUCCGGAGGAGUGACGGUACCGAGAGAAGAAGCCCCGGCUAACUCCGUGCCAGCAGCCGCGGUAAUACGGGGGGGGCAAGCGUUGUUCGGAAUUACUGGGCGUAAAGGGCUCGUAGGUGGCCAACUAAGUCAGACGUGAAAUCCCUCGGCUUAACCGGGGAACUGCGUCUGAUACUGGAUGGCUUGAGAUUGGGAGAGGGAUGCGGAAUUCCAGGUGUAGCGGUGAAAUGCGUAGAUAUCUGGAGGAACACCGGUGGCGAAGGCGGCAUCCUGGACCAACACUGACACUGAGGAGCGAAAGCCAGGGGAGCAAACGGGAUUAGAUACCCUGGUAG